rnacentral:rRNA from 1 species
CCUACGGGUGGCUGCAGUGGGGAAUAUUGCACAAUGGGCGCAAGCCUGAUGCAGCCAUGCCGCGUGUGUGAAGAAGGCCUUCGGGUUGUAAAGCACUUUCAGCGGGGAGGAAGGCGUUAAGGUUAAUAACCUUGGCGAUUGACGUUACCCGCAGAAGAAGCACCGGCUAACUCCGUGCCAGCAGCCGCGGUAAUACGGAGGGUGCAAGCGUUAAUCGGAAUUACUGGGCGUAAAGCGCACGCAGGCGGUCUGUCAAGUCGGAUGUGAAAUCCCCGGGCUCAACCUGGGAACUGCAUUCGAAACUGGCAGGCUAGAGUCUUGUAGAGGGGGGUAGAAUUCCAGGUGUAGCGGUGAAAUGCGUAGAGAUCUGGAGGAGUACCGGUGGCGAAGGCGGCCCCCUGGACAAAGACUGACGCUCAGGUGCGAAAGCGUGGGGAGCAAACAGGAUUAGAUACCCCAGUAGUC